rnacentral:rRNA from 1 species
UGUUCGACAAACAUUGGUUGGUUGAGUGGCUAAGCGAAAGUGAUAAGUAUCCCACCUGGGGAGUACGGUCGCAAGACUGAAACUCAAAGGAAUUGACGGGGGCCCGCACAAGCGGUGGAGCAUGUGGUUUAAUUCGAUGAUACGCGAGGAACCUUACCAGGGCUUAAAUGUAAGUUGCAUGAUUUAGAGAUAGAUCUUUCUUCGGACUACUUACAAGGUGCUGCAUGGUUGUCGUCAGCUCGUGCCGUGAGGUGUCAGGUUAAGUCCUAUAACGAGCGCAACCCCUGUCGUUAGUUGCCAGCAAGUCAAGUUGGGCACUCUAGCGAGACUGCCAGUGCAAACUGUGAGGAAGGUGGGGAUGACGUCAAAUCAUCACGGCCCUUACGUCCUGGGCUACACACGUGCUACAAUGGUCGGUACAGAGAGCAGCCACUACGCGAGUAGGAGCGAAUCUAUAAAACCGAUCUCAGUUCGGAUCGCAGUCUGCAACUCGACUGCGUGAAGCUGGAAUCGCUAGUAAUCGGAUAUCAGCCAUGAUCCGGUGAAUACGUUCCCGGGCCUUGUACACACCGCCCGUCAAGCCAUGGAAGCUGGGAGUACCUGAAGUCGGUUACCGCAAGGAGCUGCCUAGGGUAAAACUGGUAACUGGGGCU